rnacentral:rRNA from 1 species
AACGAACGCUGGCGGCAGGCCUAACACAUGCAAGUCGAGCGAACCUUCGGGUUAGCGGCGGACGGGUUAGUAACGCGUGGGAACGUGCCCUUCUCUACGGAAUAGCCCAGGGAAACUUGGAGUAAUACCGUAUACGCCCUUUGGGGGAAAGAUUUAUCGGAGAAGGAUCGGCCCGCGUUGGAUUAGGUAGUUGGUGGGGUAAUGGCCUACCAAGCCGACGAUUCAUAGCUGGUUUGAGAGGAUGAUCAGCAACACCGGGACUGAGAAACGGCCCAGAACUCUACGGGGAGCAGCAGUGGGGAAUCUUAGAAAAAGGGGGAAACCCUGAUCUAGCCAUGCCGCGUGAGUGAUGAAGGCCUUAGGGUUGUAAAGCUCUUUCAGCUGGGAAGAUAAUGACGGUACCAGCAGAAGAAGCCCCGGCUAACUCCGUGCCAGCAGCCGCCGUAA